rnacentral:rRNA from 1 species
GCGAGCGAAAAGGGAUGAGCCCAGCGCCGAAUCCCCGGCUUCRCGGUCGUGGGAAAUGUGGCGUUUAGGAGUGAGCGUGCCGGGAAGGAAGAGGCGGCAAGUCCCCCUGACCGGGGCCUGUCCGUAGCGGGUGCGAGACCCAUAGCCGCCUCGUCCCGACCGGAUGCGAUCUCCUUGGAGUCGGGUUGCUUGGGAGUGCAGCCCUAAUCGGGUGGUAAACUCCACCUAAGGCUAAAUACCGCCGUGAGACCGAUAGCAAACAAGUACCGUGAGGGAAAGUUGCAAAGAACUUUGAAGAGAGAGUUCAAGAGUACGUGAAACUGCUCAKAGGUAAACGGGUGGGCCCUCGAAAUCCUGUGGCGAGAGGAUUCAGUGCGGGUCGGACUAAAGGUCUACCGGAGGAGCGUCCCCGUUACGGGGGCCGCCGGCGAGGCAUGCUAAGUUCAGUCCCGUACGCAUUUGUCUCUCGUCCCGAGGACGCUGCAGCCGGUUCGGCAGUGCAAACGUGACGGCCUGAAGGGCCGGGACUGGCAGGUGGCCGGUGGUCGGAGUUCUUCCGUCUCGCCGGUUGUUAGCCGCCCGGUCGGUGGCUCGUCGCCGGACCGUGGUUUGCGGGUUGCCCGUCACGGGCGUACCCCUCGACUCCUUCCCUUUAAAGCGACGCGGGACAGACCGUGGCAAGGGUUUCGCAGCCGUUGAGUCGCAGUUCUCAGACUUGGACUUUUACGGCUCGGAGCCCCGUUGGCCGCGACGGGCCCGCUGGGGACUGGAGGCUGGCAGCGAGUAGGUCGGUCACCCACCCGACCCGUCUUGAAACACGGACCAAGGAGUCUAACAUGUGCGCGAGUCAAUGGGUCUUGAAUAGGCCCAUGGGCGCAAUGAAAGCGAAGGCGCGUCUUAGCGCGUGCCGAGUCGGGAUCCCCCUCUUCAAGGAGCGGGGCGCACCGACGACCCGUCCUAUCCGGCUCGCCGGUUGGGCGGAGUUUGAGCGCACACGUUGGGACCCGAAAGAUGGUGAACUAUGCCCGGACAGGAUGAAGUCAGAGGAAACUCUGAUGGAGGUCCGC